GUCAUAGGGAGACUUGUGGUUGUCACUGGGAGAGUUAUGGUUGUCACCUGGAGAGUUGUGGUUGUCACUGGGAGAAGUUGUGGUUGUCAUUGGAGUAGUUGUGGAUGUCACUGG